rnacentral:antisense_RNA from 1 species
GACUUGCCCAAGGACACUGCCGGGGCUUGAGUGUUGGAGGGCUUGAGCCUUAGAGUGUUGAAGAUGGGAGUUUGAGAACUAGCUCUGCCAUGAGCUGUGACACAAUGGCCAUUAUCUUGUUGCGCCUUGAGUACAUUAUCCUUAAAAUGGGAUAAUUGCUGCCCUGCCUAUAUUAUGUGAUUAUUGAAGGACUGAGUGAAGAAACAGCUGUUCUAGCAAAUAUUUACCGAGUGCUUACUUUCCGAAUGUUCUAAUCCUUCACGCAACCCAAUCGCUUCUCACAGCAGUCCUGCCGCUUAGAUCAGUCAUGAAUGGAGGGGAUGCCACCAUUACGAUGUGUUUCCUUAUUUGAAUGAAGAUGCAAGACUCUUGUAGAAAAAGAGGCCAAAUGACCGCACUUACCUGCUAAGGACAAAGUGGGAGCCUGUAUCGUGAAGGGCACCAG